rfam:Pelodiscus sinensis unplaced genomic scaffold scaffold519, whole genome shotgun sequence.
UUCAUGUUUCAUCAGCCUUCUAGAUUGAAAAAUUCUAUCACAGAAGUAAGUUGUUCUCCAGAAUCAGCUCUCUAUUGAAAGGUCAAAAC